GGGGGCUUCCGUUCCAGUGUGGUCGCGGCCUCCGGGGGCUCCCCCCGGGCGGUAGAGGUAACACUCUUACGCGCCACAUGUCUGAAUCCUUUUUUUACGAGCACCUUUCGUUCUCCUUCGGUGGGGCAACCUGCCGUUGGAACUUAUCAAAACCUUUUUUGCAUCUAGCAUUACCUGUUCAGAUACAAACAAUCGUUACAACUUUCAACAAUGGAUCUCUUGGCUCUGGCAUCGAUGAAGAACGCAGCGAAAUGCGAUAAGUAGUGUGAAUUGCAGAAUUCAGUGAAUCAUCGAAUCUUUGAACGCACAUUGCGCCCCUUGGUAUUCCAUGGGGCAUGCCUGUUCGAGCGUCAUCUACACCCUCAAGCUCUGCUUGGUGUUGGGCGUCUGUCCCGCCUCUGCGCGUGGACUCGCCCCAAAUUCAUUGGCAGCGGUCUUUGCCUCCUCUCGCGCAGCACAUUGCGCUUUAGAGGGGUGUGGGCCGCGUCCACGAAGCAACAUUAUCGUCUUUGACCUCGGAUCAGGUAGGGAUACCCGCUGAACUUAAGCAUAUCAAUAAGCGGAGGAA
rnacentral:rRNA from 1 species